rnacentral:rRNA from 1 species
CCAUACCACCCUGAACACGCCCGAUCUUGUCUGAUCUCCGAAGCUAAGCAGGGUCAGGCCUGGUUAGUACUUGGAUGGGAGAAAGAAAAGAGAAAAAAAAA